rnacentral:tRNA from 1 species
ACUAGUGACUCAGUGGUUAAAGCCUAGGGCUCGUAACCGAAAGGUUCCGAGUUCGAACCUCGAAAGAG